rnacentral:lncRNA from 1 species
UGUCCAGCUGGCUGGAGAUGACAUGGAGGUCAACACCACAGAACUCAUGAGUAUCCUCAACAGGUCGUGACCAGACACCCGAUCUGAAAACUGAUGGGUUUGGCAUUGACACUUGUCAGAGCAUGGUGGCUGUUAUGGAUAGUGACACCACAGGCAAGCUGGGCUUUGAGGAAUUCAAGUACCUCUGGAACAAGAUUAAAAUGUGGCGGGAUAUAUAUAAACGCUUUGAUGCUGACUGAUCAGGGACCAUUGAUAGCCAUGAACUCCCAGGGGCCUUUGAGGCAGCAGGAUUCCACCUGAAUGAGCACCUCUAGGACAUGGUCAUGGUCUUCCGCCGCUAGUCAGAUGGGAGCGGGAAUAUAGAUUUCGAUAACUUCAUCAGCUGCUUGGUCAGACUGGAUGCCAUGUUCCGUGCUUUCAAGUCUCUUGACAAAAAUGGCACUGGACAGAUCCAAGCGAACAUCCAGGAGUGGUGGCAGCUGACUACGUAUUCCUGAAUGGGAGUCACAGACCUGCCCCCUCACAGCUCACUAUGGAGUCACCUUGAACUUGAUCCUGUCUGCAGCCACAUUUUUAUGGUCAUGUCAAGAGGCUACCCAGAGGCGCUUCUUUUCCCAAUUCUGGUACUCAGCUUCUAGUCAGCAGCCAGAGCUCAACAUGCCCCAGCUUGCUGCACCCUGAGUUACCCCAGGCUCUGAGACAAGCUAGCUUGUACUGCUGAAGGGUCUCUCCACCCUAGAACACCCAAUCCACACCCUCUGUGACCUCCAUCCUGCCUGUGUGCCAAGCCUAGCACUCCUGUUGCUUCCAUGUCCCAAGGGCCCUGUUUUAGUUCUGGGAGAAUCAUGCCAGUCCCUACACACCCUUUAUACACUCACACAGUGACCUCCCAGGCAGCUAAGUAAACUCCGGGCCAUCCGAGUGCACACACCAAAGCAAACAAACAAACAAACCAACAAACAAACAAACGAACAAAGUUA